AAGUCGUAACAAGGUUUCCGUAGGUGAACCUGCGGAAGGAUCAUUACCGAGUUCUCGGGCUUCGGCUCGAAUCUCCCACCCUUUGUGAACAUGCCUCUGUUGCUUCGGUGGCUCCCGAGCGCAACCCCCCCGGGGUGCGACCGCGACCGCCGGAGGACCUCAAAACUCCAGUCAGUAAACGUCUACGUCUGAUAAAAAAGUCAAUAAAUUAAAACUUUCAACAACGGAUCUCUUGGUUCUG
rnacentral:misc_RNA from 1 species